rnacentral:tRNA from 1 species
UAAAAGAUAAGCUAAUUGUUAAGCUAAUGGGCUCAUACCCCGUAAAUGAGAGUUAAACCUCUCUCUUUUUA